rnacentral:lncRNA from 1 species
CAAAGAGGUUCCUGGCGGAGGCUGGAAAUCCAAGUCUGACUGUGUCCUGUGGGAACACACAGUCACCUGUAAAUACACCAUCCUGAUCAUCCUUCUCCGAGACAGCAGUGACCGUCAUGGUGUGGGUCAUAAGGGACUCAUAAAAAAGACAACCUCUCAGCUUUAUUCAUGUUCUUCAAGGAGACAACAAACACCAACUCAUGGUCAUAGACAUGCAUGUCACUGAGGCCCAGCUACCGUUGAAGUGUCUUCCAACAUCACAGCCAAACCACACAGCCUCUUCAUCUUUGAUGGAAGUAGCAACCAUCUUUUUCAAGAAGUCAAUGGGCUAGUUGUUAAACAGAGUUCUUCUCCCUCCAACCAUAUUGCUCAGAAGUCUCAUAACACCCAGACAAGAAAAGACUCAGCAUCACCUGGAGCUCUUCUGGUUGGUGACUGGCUUGCCUUCCUGAGGAACAACAUGCUGGAACACAUGCUGUGCACCCUGCACAGUGGCCCUUUUCAGACAGAUGUCCUGCAGGUCACGGGUGGUCCUGAUGUUCUGGGCAAGUACAAGCUGAGGGUCAGAAUUCAGUUUCUGGAUCAGAGCAGCUACCUCAUCCAAAUUCAGUCCUAUGUUGCUCAUGGUACCCACACUGCCCAGUGGGAUAAUGUUACUGUUGGUUUUGAAAUGAAGGUCUCACUAUGUCGCCUAGCCUGGACUCAAAUUUCUGGGCUCGAGUGAGCCUCCUGCCUCAGCGUCCCAAGAUUUGGGACUAAAGGUGUAUGCCACCACACCUGGCCUGAGAACACUUUUCUAAGUAAAAUAAGCUAGUUACAAAAAAGAAAUCUUGCCAGGCAUGCCAGCCCAUGCCUGUAAUCCCAGCUACUCUGGAGGCUGAGACAAGGCUUGUAAAUUUGAGGCUAGCCUGGGCAACUUGGUGAGAUCCUGUCUCAAAAAAAGAAAGCAUUGAGGAUGUAGCUCAGUAGUACAGUGCUUUCCUAGCAUGUUCAAGGCCCUGGACUCAAUCCCCAGUACUGAAAAAGAAAAAGACAAAUAUUAUAUGAC